rnacentral:rRNA from 1 species
GACAGAGGGUGCAAACGUUGCUCGGAAUUACUGGGCGUAAAGCGCGUGUAGGCGGACUGGUGUGUCGGAUGUGAAAUCCCCAGGCUCAACCUGGGAACUGCAUUCGAUACUGCCGUGCUUGAGGACUGGAGAGGAGACUGGAAUUUACGGUGUAGCGGUGAAAUGCGUAGAUAUCGUAAGGAAGACCAGUGGCGAAGGCGGGUCUCUGGACAGUUCCUGACGCUGAGGCACGAAGGUCAGGGGAGCAAACGGG